rnacentral:lncRNA from 1 species
AUGAGGCCAUAGUAGUUGGACAUGGUUGUUUGUUGUAGCAUCUAACACUUGACGCUAGUGGCUAAGGACUUUUUUACCCAGGCACAUGGGUGACAGUUUAGCCUUAGAAUUGAUUGUCAUUAGUGCUUGAGAUCUUUUUUCCCUUUUGUUCGAACCAGAAAUGAGCCGGCGGACUGUCCGGCCCUGAGGCCGGACGGUCCGCGGUCCGGACGGUCCGCGCCUGUGGGCCGGACGGUCCGCGCGUGCGCAGAACAGAUUAGGGUUCCGAGUUUUGUGCUACGGUUGUUAGCUAUAUUCGCGGGAUUAGCUCGGAAUCAGUUGUGUAAAGGGUCCAGCCCCCCUCCUCUAUAAAUAGAGAGGUCUACGACCGAUUUGUAAUCAUCAACAAUCGAAUCAAUACAACUUCUAUUCGCAUUUUAUCCUAGGAGUAGUUCUAGUCUAGUUUAGGUUUAGCCACUCAAUCCCCAAAUUCUCCGCCUCUCCUCGACUCUACGUCGAUUAGAGGAGUCUAGGUCGGCCUGCCCGAGCCUACACAACUCCUAGGAUCUCUCCUCCCCGACGGGGUCCCUCCCGGGAGCGAGAUCCAGGCGCCGCCGGCGACUUCUGCCGCCCCUGCACACGCGCGGACCGUCCGGCCCUAGGGCGCGGACCGUCCGGCUGUCAGGCAGAGAAGCCCCAGCUGCGCACCAGGCCGCGGACCGUCCGGCUCCAUGCCGCGGACAGUCCGCCCCUGCGCAGAGAAUACCACCGCGCCUCGCACCAGGCCGCGGACCGUCCGGCCCCGCGCGUGGACCGUCCGCCCCUGUGCAGAGGGCAUCGCCACGGUUCUUCUUGAGUGUUUGACGCUCCGAAAAGGCGUCAACAUACUUUUUGGCGACUCCGCUGGGGAAGACACAUCUAGGCUCAUCAAAUCGGCCCUCAAUGGCCGGUUCAAGGGAGAGCUCUGAUAUUUCUCCAAGCAACAUCAUAGAGCCGACUUGGGAAACCUUGCCGGCUGACGAGCAGCUCCAGUUUGAGGAGCACAAGGAGCGGAUGAUCCAGGAGGCGAAAGCAAAAUUAUUGGCCAACUUCAAAGUGGACAGGAACAACAGGGUCGUCCGACAUCGGGCGACGGAUCCGGCUUCGCUCCAACCCACGCCAGAUAUCCCCAAUGUAAGUAAUACCAACGAGCUACAAUCUCUUAGAAAUUACGUAGAAGAGCAGCGUGAACAAAUGCAGAACAUCAUAGGGGGUAUGCAAAGCGAUGUUAAGAGACUAGUACGUGCAUUCGAUAAAUCUAACAUCACAAAUUUUCCUUCACACGAGGUUGAGUUAGGAGGUAACACGCGUAACACAUCGGCUACAGGUUGUCACGACCAGUCACAACCCCUUUAUGGGAUGCCGAUGGACACAUACCCUGAACAACCGCAAAUCGGCAGCAAAUCAGCCGAUCUGCACAUGCCCGGACCCUCCGCACGUGAGCGCGGACCGUCCGGGCCAACAACAGUCGGGCCUAUUUUUAAUGAGUUACCUAGAUAUGCGCCCGAACCACCACAUGCGACACAGAAUCUAAACUACCCAGUCGGACCAUCCGCGUACAACGACGGACGGUCCGCACAUAAUCACGGACGAUACGGGCCAAUGUCCGGACAGUCCGCGCAUGACCUUUUUGAGCAGGAUUGCUACCUGAAUCCUCACCCGUCCCAGCAACACUUCCCAUCGCACUAUACAAUGCAUCAACCUAUUAAUUCGAGAUCUAGAGCCCAGGAAAACUUUCCGGCCCCACCUAGAAGGCCGGAAAGGAACGAUCAAACACACGAACCAUAUAGGGCAAAUGGCAAUGCACCACGUAGCUCAAACCAAUGGGGGGAACGACAACAUACCAACAUGCAACCAACCCCACCUAUGUUUGACCAGAGAGCCAGUGGUCUCGCACCGGCUGCCAUUGAUAUAGUAAGGGAAGAAAUAGCCGGGGCGUUCUGAGAUAAGCUCGGAGUGAGCAUGGUCCCUGGGGGGCAAUCAUAUCGGAAACCUUAUGACAGCCGAUUUGAUCACCACCCAUACCCACAGGGAACCAGGAUACCCGAAUUCACAAAAUUUUCGGGUGAUCAAGGAAAGAACACACGUGAACACAUAGGCCAAUUUUUAGCACAAUUAGGAGAAUUGGCCGACACAGAGGCAUUUCGCGUACGUUUAUUUUCAUUAUCUUUAACAGGAACUGCGUUUGCAUGGUACGCCACUUUACCUCCUAAUUCCAUUUCAUCAUGGGGGGAUUUAGAACAAAAAUUUCAUGAUCAUUUUUUCUCCGGUGACUAUGAGUUGGAUUUGGUAGAUUUAGCGUCGUUGCGACAGACAAAAGAUGAAUCGGUUAAUGAUUACAUCCGGAGAUUCCGAGAUACAAGAAACCGAUGCUUUCAAAUUCAUUUAGCAGAGAAACAGCUAGUAGGAUUAGCUUUUAAUGGUCUGCGAUAUUAUUUAAAGGAAAGAUUAGAAGGCAUCCAAUUCUUUACACUAGCACAAUUACACCAGAGAGCUUUGGCUUGUGAAAGCCGAAGCAAAGAAACUACUAAAACAAUUCGUCACAACAUACAUGUAGUAGAAUGCGACCAAAGUAGCUCAGAAGACGAAUCAGCAGAGGUGUAUGCUGCUGAAAUGGUUUGGCCAAAACAGGCCAAAUCUUCGGCUUGUUCCUCCUUACAGCCGGUUCAAAAGAAACGACAAGAGGAGGUUAAGUUUACAUUUAAUGUUGGUAAGUGUGAUAGAAUAUUUGAUGAAUUACUCAAAAAUGGCAACAUUAAAAUAAAUCACACUAUUCCAUCCGCCGACGAGCUAAAACGUCGUGCAUAUUGCAAGUGGCAUAACUCAUUUUCUCAUGCCACUAAUGAUUGUAAUGUAUUCCGUCGACAGAUUCAAUCGGCCAUUAACGAAGGACGAUUGAAAUUUCAGGAAAUGCAGGUGGACACGGAGCCCUUUCCAAUGAACAUGAUCGACUUUGAGGGCAAGAAAGUCCUGACUCGACCAAACACAGCCGAUGAAGGCAAAGGCAAAGAAAUAGUCAUCAGCAAUGCAAGAGAGGCCGGUGGGAAUCAUAAAACUUCUUGCAGAAAAGUGGUGGCAGAGAAGACUCCUGAUGGAGGGGAGACCUUGAAGGUGACCAUCACAGCCUCUGGCACUGGGGGGCAAACACAGACAGGGAGACAAGCGCAAGAACCCAUUUUGCGCAUCGCGGACGGUCCGCCAUCCAGACGCGGACGGUCCGACGCUUCUCCGGACGGUCCGGCGAACUCCAGCGGACGGUCCGGCCGUGCUCAGGACCCGCAGCAACCACGUACCUUCAAACCACGAUGACCCGAGAUAGGUACGUGGAAAACAAAUACAUUUAAAGCAGCUGGUCGGCUGAUCAAGCCUGGCCCGACUUUCGAUCAAUUGUUGUCUAAAUACGUGAAAAAGAAGGCCGGUCCCAGUAACCGGCCACCAAAGCGACCCCGCUCACCCAUUCAUGAGCAACGUCAGGUCAAAACGAUUGGACCACCUCACCAAUCGGAAGAAAUGAAAGGUCCUAUUGUACAAUUGAGACCUAACAUACCGACAUAGACCCCUCCACCCCCUUAUCCAUCUAUGCCAUAUCCAUACACAUACUUACCUCCACCAUAUGUCCCAAAUCAAAUGUGGGGCAUGCCACCAUAUCCACUUGGGAUGCCACAGUACCCCGCCUGGGGGGCACCCCAAACAUCCGUUUUUGAUAGGUUGGCGCCGCCAGUGCAAGACCGAUUGAGCGCUGCUGGAUCUGGUCACCAGGCACAGGCCCAACAAGAUUGCCGGAUUACUCGGCCUCCUAGGCCGACCAAUCCGGCAGGGGGGCAUAUGUCUGUAGCAACUCAAAGAACAACGAAAAAAGACAUCAUCAAAAUAGGCACUGCAGAUGUUGUCAUACAGGGGGACAAUAAAGGGCUGAUGAUUUUUGGUGAAUCGGCCAACACAACCAAAAAGUAUAACACAACCAAAAAGGAUACGGCUAUCGUCAAAACAGCCGAUCCAAAAUACUCCAUGCCUCGAUGGUGCCCGGCGGGAUUGACACGAUCCCAAAAGAGAAAAUUACAGCGCCUAAGAGUGAAGGAGAGCCAGGAGAAAGAGGCGGAAAAGAUAUUCAAUGACACGCAUCCACUAUACCCGCCACCGCAAAAGAAAUGGAGACCAAAGGCCGUCGAGAAAAAACAAACGGCCACGGAAAUAGAAAGUCAACCUGCACCAGGCGCGGACCGUCCGGCCCCUGCGCACGAACCGUCCGGCUUUCACCAGGAAGCGUCUGGACAACCUGCACCAGGCGCGGACCGUCCGGCCUUCGCACGCGGACCGUCCGCCGUUCACCAGGAGGCCUCCAACGACACGACAACAUCAAUGGAGGAGGACGACCUGCUGGGAGAAGACCUGGUCGACUACGAGGCUUCUCCAGAACGCCCAGGUAUGGAUGUAAAUAUUAUUACAUUUUCUGCCGAUUGUACUAUUAUCGGCGACGAUGAACCUGUUGUUGCCCAGUUUGAUUUUGGUCCUAAAGAAGCCACCUUUACUAAACCAAAGGAAUCGGUAAACCAUUUAAAGCCGCUCUUCGUGCGCGGCCACAUUGAUGGGAUACCGAUUGCUAGGAUGUUGGUAGAUGGAGGGGCGGCUGUAAAUCUAAUGCCUUAUUCAUUGUACAGAAAAUUAGGUAAACAAGAUGACGAACUUGUCAAGACCAACAUGACCCUCAGCGGUGUUGGAACUGAUAGUUCGAUCAAAGCCAGGGAAGUCACGUCCGUUGAAUUAACCAUCGGUGAAAGGAUCACGAUGCCCAAGAGGGGGGGGGGGUGAAUUGGGCUUUUCUAAAAAUCAACACUAAUUAAAACCUAAGCAAGAGCUAAACAAGAGCCCAACUUCACCCCAACAACUAGCACUAAGAAUAUAAUACUAGAAAUGUAACAAAGCUAAGAUAAUACUUCAAAUACUUGCUAAACAAAUACACAAUGUAAAGUGCUUGAAUUAAGUGCGGAAUAUAAAGCAAAGUUUAGAAGACUCCUCCAAUUUUUCCCGAGGUAUCGAAGAGUCGGCACUCUCCACUAGUCCUCGUUGGAGCACCCGCGCAAGGGUAUCGCUCCCCCUUGGUCCUCGCAAGAACCAAGUGCUCACUACGAGAUGAUCCUUUGCCACUCCGGCGCGGUGGAUCCCUCGAGACCGCUUACAAACUUGAGUCGGGUCACCAACAAGAUCUUCACGGUGAUCACCGAGCUCCCAACGCCACCAAGCCGUCUAGGUGAUGCCGAUCACCAAGAGUAACAAGUCGUAGACUUUCGCUUGACCAAGAGAAGCCUAAUGCAAGUGGUGUGUGCUCUAGGUGGCUCUCACUAGCGCUAAUGAGGAACAAGCGCGGAUUAUGAUUCUCUAAUCUCCUCACAAGGCUUUUGGUGCUUGCAAUGCUCUACCAAUGUGCUGGAAUAAAUGUGGAGUGCAAGACAUUGAAUAUGGUGGGUGGAGGGGGUAUAAAUAGCCCUCACCCACCAACUAGCCGUUACAGGCAAUGUGCUGCGCGAUGGCGCACCGGACAGUCCGGUGCGCCACCGGUGCGCCAACGGUGCGCCACCGGUCACUUCCAACGGCUAGUUCUGACACAGAGCCGUUGGACUCAUGGCGCACCGGACAGUGAACAGUCCACUGUCCGGUGCACACCGGACAGUCCGGUGCGGUGUCCGGUGUGCCACUAAAAUUCAUCUCCGAAGGAUGCGCUCUCGGGUUUCUGCGACGGGGAAAAACUCUGCCGUGGACCAGCCUGGCCCCACCUGGCAGAGGGUGCACCGGACAGUCCGGUGCCCCUAAGCCAGAAACACUAAAUCUUGUUUUCAGCUGAUUUUCAAAUCGGUUUUCGCUCUAACUUGUGUGUGAGUUCUAGAGUGACACCUAGCACUGUAUAUGAGUGUGAUUGUGCACCAACACUACACUAGAACUCUCUUGGUCAAACUACUCAUCGACAACCCCUCUUUAUAGUACGGCUAAAAGAGAAUAAAAGACCUAACUAAAUCGCGAGUGUCCACAUCUCCUUGACACUCGGACUCCGUAGACCUUCACCUUUUGUUCCGUCGUUUUAGCCGUCGCUUCGAGUUCUUAUUUCCUGGAUUGUUUUCACCGUUGUAGUACUUCUACCUGUCAUGCGACCUAACUUACCAUUUGUCUCUGCAAAACACAUGUUAGUCACAUAUAAUAUUACGUUGUCAUUAAUCACUAAAACCAACCAGGGGCCUAGAUGCUUUCAAUCUCCCCCUUUUUUGGUGAUUGAUGACAACCCUACAAGUUUUGUGAGAGUAGUUUGUUUUGAAGAUUCUGUCAAUAGAAAGAAUGGUUAGUUAUACUCAGUAAUCUUUGACAGAAAGAAUGUGUACCAUAAUAAUAAGAGUGAGCGCAUACACAUCAUAAGAUUCUUGUUCAUAUAAAAGUGAAGUUAAAUUAAUGAAACAAGAGCUAAAAGACUGGUGAUAAAAUAUAAGGUGAAAACAUAAUACACACUGUCAAUCAUACGCAACGAGAGUAUAUGACGAGUUUGUGAGCCAAAAACAUCAAGGUAGUACAGAGAGUAGCAGGCACAUAUAUUACAUCAAAAUGACUCUGACUCUCUACUAACUCUCUAACUCCCCCUAGCUCUCACAACUCAUAUCUCUCCCCCUUUGGCGUCAAACACCAAAAGGACCUGAACCUAAACAUCUGAAGCAGGAGGAGGCGGCGGGGGCGCAUCCGGUCGAGGUCGAGGUAGCAGAGCGAACGCCGGCGGAGGGUCAGAGUCAGUCUCGGAUCCAGGAUCUGCGGUAGAAGCUGGAGCUGGUACUGACUCGGACGGAGGCCGCGCUGCAGGAGCUACUGGAACAGAAGCGGUCACAGAUACUGCCACAGCGGUAGUGGUAACAGCAGAUGCUGGUGGCACUGGCGGCUGCGGACAGAUAGAGCUGAGAGCCGGAGAGGUGAACGCCAAAGUGACCGGCCGGAGUGGAGAGGUACCAGCAGGGGGUCCAGACAAGAUCGAAGGCACCACUGGAGCGUGAAGCGGAGGAGGCGGAGCAGACUGAACCGGAGGUGCUGAGAUACCAGAAUGCUGAAGCAUGAGGGCCAUGAAUGCCCUAUUCUCUGCCCUAUCCUGAAUAAGCUGCUGCUGAAGUGCAUCCUGCCUGUCCUGCAUGUUCUGAAACAUAGAGAGCAUCCUCUCGGAUAAACGGGCCUGCUCGGCUGCCAGGUGAGCCUGCUGCUGAGUGAGAGUCUGGAGAAUCGAAGCAAGAGCAGGGUCCAUAGCCUGAGGAGUAGCAGGAGCAGCACUAGAGCUCCCAGCCUCAUGAUCAUGUGAGCGUGGAGGCAUAGGAGGCGGAGGCGGAGGAGGAACCCCAAAAUCAUCAUCAUCAUCAUCAUCAUCAUCAUCAGCUGCUGUACCCUGAGUGUCAAACUGACGAAGAGCUGCAUCCUCGGCCUGAGAGUCGAACACAGAAGCAGAAGCUGGCACUGGAAUCUCAGGAGCAGGAUGGUAAGAUCCAAAAACAAGUCGUGAGGCCUCAAGGGUGCUCUGAAAACGAGGUGGCUGAAUCAGCUGCGCAAAGAUGUGGCACAAGUAGUGAGCAUAAGGUAGCUGCCGACGAGCACGAAUCCCAUCCAGAACAGUGUCCUCGAUCUCACAGAUCAGGAAGUCCACAACAUCAAACUGUGAGUGGGAUACCAGGGCACCAAGGAGCCAAAGCUGAAUAUGAGUGGUAGCCUCCCUGUAUCCCAUCCUCGGCAGGAGUGUCCGUCUGAUGAGCUCAUAUAAGUACUUCGCUGCUGUAGUAAAGUCUGCUGGAGAACGUCGCGACCCAUCUGUGAAAGGCGGGCGGAACAGAGCCGCGACGUGAGCUGUCCCUGGAGCAACACCGCCGUGAGGGCGACGAGGAGGAUCUGAAGUGCCGUAGCAGAGGCUGUGGAGGCGAGUCGACGACUCAGGGAAUCCAAAUAGCUGUCGGAUCUGACUGGCAGAGAUCGUGACAUCCUCGCGCUCAAAGCGGAACCUCAUCCAAUGAUGAUCCGGGUCAAUCCAAACAGAGGCGUAGAAGACGCGGACCCACUCCUCAACAUAUCUGCCGCUGAUAGUCAGAAGGGACAGGAGGCCAGGCAGAUAGGUGAGAUGCGCCUCAGACUCAGCACCGGCUGCAAGCAGAAAAGCUGGAAGAUCCAAGAGGCGGUGCACUCGCAGCGCUAUCUGAGCAGACAUCUGAGCCCUGAAGAAUGACUCCUGAAUCCGUGUGCUGAAAAGAACACCUGCUGCUGGGUCUCUCUGAGCAGGUAGCCAAGACUCCACGGGUACGUACCUGAACCGACGUACCCGUGCUGCAGUAGCACGCUGAAGAUCAAACAGACGAGGAUCCGAAACCAGAGGACGGACCUCAGUCUCAUCACGCUCCCGGAAGCGAGGUGGAGGAACAGGAGGAGCUGAAGCGGGAGCGGGAGCAGGGGUAGCAGUGGAAGCUGGCGUAGUGCUGGUAGUGGGUAUGGUUGUGGAGGUGGAUGGAGCAAUAGGAGUGACGGGAGCAGGCAGGGUGGGUGGCGGAGUGAAAGCGUAGGUGUGAAUGGAGGAGCGAGGCCGGGAGGUGAGACGACGAGCACGGAAUGCAAUCUGAUCAGAUGGAACAUGCGGCUGAUCUCCAAGUGCUGCCUGCGCAGCGGCUGCUGCAGCUGCUGCCGCUGCACGGGCCUCUCUGUCCGUACGCCGCUUCUUGCGGCCUUCUUGCUGCUCCAAAUACACAGUCUUGCCCUUCACCUGCCUGAAGGGGCGACGAGGGUCCUCGUCAUCGCCACCCCCUGACGCCGACGCAUUCUUCGUGCGCGGCAUCCUGAACUAAUGUCUGCAAAUGAGAUAGAGAGACUAAGCACAGAGCAAAAGUGACCGAUAGAUUUAGCAAAGAGUGAGAUGUCUACCUGGAAAGCUCACACGAGAGGUGACGAUCCAGGCAGGACGGGAGACGGCACACGGUCACACAAGGUCACUAAAAUGACAGAAGAGGUGAGCACGUAUUAGUCACAUAGUCAUAAGCAUAUGAAAUGUGAAUAAAUACAUACACAGAGAGAUAUGGCACAAGACGGGACGUUCAAGAGGUCAAAAGACGUAAAAACGACGUUUGACAGAUAAAUAGUGACAUAGGAGGUUUGGAAUUCGAAAUGAGGCACGAAAUGUUAUGGAAUUGAGCCGAUACUUCACGAAUAGGUUGAUAUAGAUCAAUAUGAGUGAAGUGUGUGCUUGAUUUGAAUUUAGGCGAAGAAAUAGGGAUUUGGGCACUCGGCUCGGAAACGAUCGCUCAAAACGGGAAUUUUGGUGAAAUUUAAGCCUGGGAUCUCGGAUUGGCGUGAAAUUUGGCAAGUAGGUUACUGGAAGUGUUGUGAAGGUGCCUGAAAAAUUUGGGUUCAAUUGGAGCAAGUUUGGCUGGUUUGGGCAUUUCACCGAGCAUGUGGCAUGCGGGGAGCUAGGGUUUUGGUGAAACGGCCAUUUGAGGUGGGAAUGCCCUCCCGAAGGAGCUAAAAACUUGCAGGGAUACACAAUAGAGAUAUUUGAACUCAUUUCACCAGAGGGAUUUGCAGGAUUUGACAGGAAAAUGAGAGAAGGUCAAUGGGGGGAAUAGAGUGCAACACAGCUGCAGACAGAGCACAGAGAGGGAGAGGAAACAGGGGAGGAAGAGGAGAGCCUGCUCACCGAGAGGGAGAGGACGGUCGCCGGAGGGUCGCCGGAGAAGAUGGCCGCCGGUGGAGAUCGCCGGGGGGGGGGGAAUCGCCUAGAGGCAGAGAGCAGCGGGCGGCUGGGAAAUAAAACAGAGCCUCUGGCUCGGCUCUGCGGGCUGGAGGCCUUUUUUUAAAACGCGAGAUGGGCACACCGGACAGUCUACAGUGCCUGUUCGGUGCACACCGGACAGCGCACAGUAGCUGUCCGGUGAACCACCGGACAGCGCACAGGAGAAUUGGAUUUUAGCGCGCGGCUGCCUGUGCACCGGACAUUGCACAGUGCAGUGUCCGGUGCACACCGGACUGUCCGGUGAGCCCAGACAGAGGGGAGUUUGGAAAAUUUUGAAUUUUUCUAUAUAACUCCUAACCAAACCAAAUCCCAACUUAUAAUCACACAAAAUAACACUUGUUGGGACAGGUAUUGGCACCCUCAUAUACUUUUCAAAAUAUUUUGCCAUAGGCUAGAUAAUUUUUAGAGAAAAUAAGCAAAUGGUGAAAUUUGCAUUUGGGCUUGCACUAGGGGUUUUCAAGAGUGAUUUGAGUUUUGAAUACUCCCCCUAAGUGCAGUACCUCAUGCAUAUUUCAAGAACCAAUAAUUGCAUGAAAAGUAAGAAUUUAAGUGCUAAAAGCUUAAAAACUAAGACUUGUCAGGUUUGACCCGAGUUAAGCUUUUUCACUCGUUUUGUUGGCGGUUAUCUCAACUAGGUUAGACAAGUCCUAGAUGCAAUACAAGGAAUUUAAAUAUGCAAUGCAAAUGACAGCACCAUUUGACAUUUCACAUAAAAUUUCUGAGAUCAAGAAUAUUUAGUUCAUUCCUCAACAUGCAAAAGCGGGUCUUAUCAAGUGGCUUAGUGAAAAUAUCCGCUAAUUGAUCUUCCGACCUCACUCCUUCUAAAAUGAUAUCUCCUUUAGCAACAUGAUCUCUAAGGAAGUGAUGACGGAUAUCAAUGUGCUUGGUGCGAGAGUGUUGUACAGGAUUAUUAGCAAUUUUAACAGCACUCUCAUUAUCACACAACAAAGGUACUUUUUCUAGAACUACGCCAUAGUCUAGAAGAGUUUGUUUCAUAUAUAAAAUCUGUGUGCAACAAGCACCUGCGGCAAUGUAUUCCGCUUCGGCAGUUGACAAGGCAACACUAUUUUGCUUUUUGGAUGUCCAUGAAACUAGUGAUCUACCAAGCAGAUGGCAUCCCCCAGAAGUACUUUUCCUAUCAAUUUUGCAACCGGCAUAAUCCGAAUCGGAAUAGCCAAUUAAAUCAAAAGUAGCUCCUUUGGGAUACCACAGACCAACGCUUGUGGUGUGCUUGAGAUACCUAAGAAUUCUCUUAACAGCGCGAAGAUGAGCUUUCUUAGGAUUAGAUUGAAAUCUAGCACACAUGCAGACACUAAACAUAAUAUCGGGCCUAGAUGCGGUAAGGUAUAAUAAACUACCAAUCAUAGAACGGUAGAGAGUUUGAUUAACCGGGUUACCUCCCUCAUCUAAGUCGAGAUGUCCAUUUGUAGGCAUGGGGGUCUUGAUUGGCUUGCACUUCUCCAUGUUGAAUCUUUUCAACAAGUCUUUGGUAUACUUCUCUUGUGAGAGAAAGUUACCAUCUUUCAUUUGCUUGACUUGAAAGCCGAGGAAGUAUGUUAGCUCACCAAUCAUUGACAUCUCGAACUCCUUCGACAUCAACUCACCAAAUUCCUUGCAAUGAUAGUCAUUUGUCGAGCCAAAGAUUAUAUCAUCAACAUAUACUUAACAAAUGAAAAUAUCACCGUUAUGUUUCUUUGUGAAGAGAGUUGUGUCGACGGUCCCGAUUUUGAAGCCCUUUUCGAUGAGGAAGUCGCGAAGACGCUCAUACCAAGCCCUUGGAGCUUGCUUUAGCCCAUAUAGCGCCUUGGACAACCUGUAAGCAUGGUUAGGAUAUCUAGGGUCUUCAAAUCCAGGCGGUUGCUCAACAUAUACAAGUUCAUUUAUGAAGCCAUUUAAAAAUGCACUUUUUACAUCCAUUUGAUAAAGUUUUAUAUCAUAACAUGAUGCAUAUGCAAGUAGGAUACGGAUGGCUUCCAGUCGAGCAACCGGGGCAAAGGUCUCUCCAAAAUCCAAGCCUUCAACUUGAGAGAAUCCCUUUGCGACAAGUCUUGCCUUGUUUCUUACAAUCACACCUUGAUCAUCUUGUUUGUUUCUGAACACCCACUUUGUUCCAAUGAUUCUUGCAUCUUGUGGGGGCUUCUCCAGGGUCCAAACUUCGUUACGGGUGAAGUUGUUAAGUUCUUCAUGCAUGACAUUCACCCAGUCCGGAUCCUGUAGCGCCUCAUCUAUACAGGUAGGCUCAACACAAGAAACAAAAGAGUGAUGUUCAAUAAAAUUUGCAUGUUUAUGUGAUCGAGUAAUAACCCCUUGUGAAGGACUCCCGAUGAUUUGGUUUUGAGGAUGAGCUUGAAGUAGUGAUGAGUUUCUCCUGUCAACCACUUGGGAAGAAGAUCCUGGAGCAUCAACAUCUUCGGCUUGUACCCUUGCUUGUUCAUGAGAGACAAAUGUAUCUUCAUUUGCAUGCCUCUCAUCUUUUUCAUCAUCUUGUGGUACAUUUGAUGAAGAAGGCCUGUCAAUGAUUUGCACCUCUUCUUCAUCUUCUUUUGGUUUGAUAGCUCCAAUAGGCAUGUUCUUCAUUGCUUCCCUAAGUGGCUCAUCACCUACAUCAUCAAGAUUUUCAAGUGCUCCUUGGGAGCCAUUAGUCUCAUCAAAUUCCACAUCAUAUGUUUCUUCUACCACGCCAGUGGCAUGAUUGAAUACUCGAUAUGCUUUGGACUUUAAUGAAUAACCCAAAAGAAAACCAAUAUCACAACGUCUUUGAAACUUCCCUAGGUGAUGGCGUUUCUUGUAGAUGUAGCAUUUGCACCCAAAUACCCGGAAGAAAGAGACGUCUGGCUUUUUCCCAUUUAGCAGUUCAUAAGGAGUCUUCGCAAGUAGCCGGUGAGGAAAUAGUCUGUUUGAUGCAUAGCAAGCAGUGUUGACAGCUUCGGCCCAAAACCUCUCCGGUGUGUUAUACUCAUCAAUCAUUGUUCUUGCAAGGGUGAUCAAGGUCCUAUUUUUCUUUUCAACAACUCCAUUUUGUUGAGGUGUAUAUGUGGAAGAUACUUCAUGCUUGAUCCCAAUUUCAUCACAGUACUCAUGAAUGUUGGUGUUGUCAAAUUCUUUGCCAUUGUCACUUCUAAUCUUCUUAAUCUUGCAAUCAAAUUCAUUUUGUGCCUUCUUGGCAAACUUCUUGAAUAUAGAUGCAACUUCAGAUUUGUCAUGGAGAAAGAACACCCAAGUGAAUCUUGAGAAGUCAUCAACAAUCACUAGACAGUAGAGGUUGCCACCGGCACUGACAUAAUUUGUAGGUCCAAAUAAAUCCAUGUGAAGUAGUUCCAGUGGCCUUGAUGUUGACAUGAAAGCUUUAGUAGGAUGUGUAUUAGCAACUUGCUUUCCAGCUUGACAUGCACUGCAUGGCUUGUCUUUUUCAAACACCACAUCCUUUAAACCUCUAACCAUAUCUUUCUUUAAUACCUUCUUGAGUGUGCUCAUCCCAACAUGUGCAAGCCUCCUAUGCCAAAGCCAUCCAAGAGAAGCUUUGGUGAAGAGGCAAGUUCUUAAGUCUGCAUCUUCUGAAGUGAAAUCCACUAAGUAGAGGUUGUUGUAUCUAAAACCCUUGAAUACCAUUGAUUCAUCAUCCAUUUUUGUUACAAUAACCUCUGAUGGAGUGAAUAAGCAUUGAAGUCCAAGAUCACAGAGUUGUCCCACUGAUAAUAAAUUGAAGCUCAAGGGUGCAACUAAGAGAACAUUUGAUAUUGAUAAGUCAUUUGAGAUUGCCACCUUGCCAAGUCCUUGCACUUUUCCUUUUGAGUUGUCUCCAAAUGUGAUUUUAUCUUGACCAUCAACAUUCUCAUCUAAUGAGGUGAACAUCCGUGGGUUGCCUGUCAUAUGUUGUGUGCAUCCACUGUCAAUAACCCAAUGGCUCCCACCGGUCUUGUAGUUCACCUACAUUCACAGACAAUUCAAGCUUGAGUUUUGAGGGCCCUAUAUUGCAUAGGACCAGUGACUCUUUCAAUUAAGGACUUUGCCACCCAGAUUUGUCUAGGUCUACUCUUAUUUGGUGGACCCAGGAAUGUAACCUUAAUCUUUCCAUUUGCAACCUUUCUUAGAACAUAGUGAGCAUUGAAAGCAAAUGGUCUUGAGUGCUUAGGCAAGGGAGUUGGUGGUUUAGCUUUGCAGUUGUGGGCAAAAUGACCUUCAUUUCCACACUCAAAACAUUUGAUAGGCUUGUGAGUCUGCUUUGGCUUGUAUUGAGUGAUAGCUUUCUUUUGCACAAAAGCAUUGUAUCCAAUACCACUCUUGUUAUUUUUCAUAACAGUGUUCAUAAGCAGCUCAUUUUGGAGGUAUUGACCCUUGUUGAACUUUUGCACACUUGUUGCAAGAUGUUCAUUUUCACUUUUUAGUUUCUUGACCUCAUUCUUAAGCCUUUGAUUAUCCACUGCCAACUCAUUGUUGAAAUCAUUGUUCUCAAUAGCAACUUUUCCUCUAGUUGUUGCAUCAGUCAAGUAAUUCUUCAAUUUUUGGUUGUCUAAAGUCAGGACUUCAACUUUUUCAGUCAAUUCAGCAUGUAGACUAGUUUGCUCUUCUUGAAUCAAAUCAUCACAUGAGGUUGCUACAUCAAGCUUAACAACAGGGUUAAUAGCCUCAUGUGUUUUGCAAGAUAAAAGUUCAUUUUCAACAAGAAGAUUGUCAUGAUCAAAUUUAAUUUGAGUAUAGUCUUCCUUGAUCUUUACUAGUCUAUUUUGCAACUCCCUAUUAGCUUCAUUUAAUUUGUCAUAUUUUUCCUUAGCAUCUUUUAGGGAGUUUGUGAGCUCAUUUACAGUUGAUGACAUAGUUUUAUUUUCUUCUUUUAUUUCAUCACUAGCCUUUAUAACUAUGUCAUACUUGGCAUUUAAAGAUUCAUUUUCAUUUUUCAACCUAUCACAUUUAGCUUUUGACUUUCUAAUGAUUUGAGUAUAUUCUUUAAGCAAGUCAGCUAACUCAUCAUAUGAAGGUGAAGCAAAUUCUUCAUCACUAUCACUAUCACUAUCAUCAUCAAUAUUAAUAUCAUUUUGUACCUUUCGUUCACCCCUAGCCAUGAGACAUAGGUGAGAAGUGGAUGAUGGCGAUGGUGGUGGUGAAGAGAAGUCCCCGGCGAUGGCCGCAACUUUUUCAUCAUUCUCUUCUUCACUUGAAGAAGACCCACUUGAUGAUUCGAUGUCGGUGAGCCAGUCGCCAACAAUAUAGGCCUUUCCAUUCUUCUUCUUGUGGAACCUCUUUUGCUUCCCAUCCUUCCUCUUGAAGAAUUUCUUUUCCUUCUUUUCAUCAUCGAUGUCAUCUUCCUUCUUGCCCUUGAACUUGUUCUUCUUGGGCUUGUUGCAUUGAUGAGCAAGAUGACCAAGCUCACCACAGUUGUAGCAGUCCAUCUCAGAAAUGGGCUUUCUUUUGUUGGAAAAGAACUUCUUCUUUCUUGAAUCAAAUUUGAUGCCUUCUCUAUUUAGCUUCUUCAACAUCUUGGUGGUCUUCCUUACCAUCAAGGCAAUGUUUGCAUCAAGGUCAUCAUCACUUGAGGAUUCUUCCUCAACUUGUAUUUUUGCUUUUCCUUUUCUUUCAUGAUUUGCUUUGAGAGCCAAAUCCUUUCUUUUGGAAGAUGAUUCUUCUUUGUCGUUGAUGUGCAUGUACAUUUCAUGGGCAUUGAUCUUUCCCAAAAUUUAUGUAGGUGUGGUAACUGAAAGAUCCAUUUGAUGUAGCACAGUGACAAUGUGUCCAUAUUUGUCUAUUGGGAGGACACUGAGAAUCUUCCUCACAACAUCCGGUUGUGAGAUUUGAGUUAGCCCCAAUCCAUUGACUUCCUCUACAAGAAUAUUAAGUCGUGAGUACAUAGCAUUUGCAUUUUCAUUAGUAAGCAUUUCAAAGGAAUUUAACUUUCGCAUGGCUAUGUGAUAUCUUUCCUCACGUUCACUUCUAGUUCCUUCAUGUAGAGCACAAAUGUCCAUCCACAAAUCAUGAGCAUUUUUAUGAUUCCUUACUCUAUUGAACACAUCUUUGCAAAGGCCUCUAAAAAGGGUGUUUUUGGCCUUAGCAUUCCAUUUCUCAUAAUUGAACUCAUCACCUACAAGAUUUGUGGGAUCUCUAGGUUCGGGGAACCCUCGUGUGGCGGCUUUAUAGACACCAAUGUCUAUAGCCUCUAAGUAUGCUUCCAUACGAAUUUUCCAAUAAGGAAAAUCGUCACCAUCAAAAACGGGAGGAGGUCCAUCCCCACCGGACAUCGUAACUCUAGCGGUUAAGCUAAUCUAUGAGCAACAAGGCUUUGAUACCAAUUGAAAGGAUCACGAUGCCCAAGAGGGGGGUGAAUUGGGCUUUUCUAAAAAUCAACACUAAUUAAAACCUAAGCAAGAGCUAAACAAGAGCCCAACUUCACCCCAACAACUAGCACUAAGAAUAUAAUACUAGAAAUGUAACAAAGCUAAGAUAAUACUUCAAAUACUUGCUAAACAAAUACACAAUGUAAAGUGCUUGAAUUAAGUGCGGAAUAUAAAGCAAAGUUUAGAAGACUCCUCCAAUUUUUCCCGAGGUAUCGAAGAGUCGGCACUCUCCACUAGUCCUCGUUGGAGCACCCGCGCAAGGGUAUCGCUCCCCCUUGGUCCUCGCAAGAACCAAGUGCUCACUACGAGAUGAUCCUUUGCCACUCCGGCGCGGACGCGCGGUGGAUCCCUCGAGACCGCUUACAAACUUGAGUCGGGUCACCAACAAGAUCUUCACGGUGAUCACCGAGCUCCCAACGCCACCAAACCGUCUAGGUGAUGCCGAUCACCAAGAGUAACAAGCCGUAGACUUUCGCUUGACCAAGAGAAGCCUAAUGCAAGUGGUGUGUGCUCUAGGUGGCUCUCACUAGCGCUAAUGAGGAACAAGCGCGGAUUAUGAUUCUCUAAUCUCCUCACAAGGCUUUUGGUGCUUGCAAUGCUCUACCAAUGUGCUGGAAUAAAUGUGGAGUGCAAGACAUUGAAUAUGGUGGGUGGAGGGGGUAUAAAUAGCCCUCACCCACCAACUAGCCGUUACAGGCAAUGUGCUGCGCGAUGGCGCACCGGACAGUCCGGUGCGCCACCGGUGCGCCAACGGUGCGCCACCGGUGCGCCAACGAUCACUUCCAACGGCUAGUUCUGACACAGAGCCGUUGGACUCAUGGCGCACCGGACAGUGAACAGUCCACUGUCCGGUGCACACCGGACAGUCCGGUGCGGUGUCCGGUGUGCCACUAAAAUUCAUCUCCGAAGGAUGCGCUCUCGGGUUUCUGCGACGGGGAAAAACUCUGCCGUGGACCAGCCUGGCCCCACCUGGCAGAGGGUGCACCGGACAGUCCGGUGCACACCGGACAGUCCGGUGCCCCUAAGCCAGAAACACUAAAUCUUGUUUUCAGCUGAUUUUCAAAUCGGUUUUCGCUCUAACUUGUGUGUGAGUUCUAGAGUGACACCUAGCACUGUAUAUGAGUGUGAUUGUGCACCAACACUACACUAGAACUCUCUUGGUCAAACUACUCAUCGACAACCCCUCUUUAUAGUACGGCUAAAAGAGAAUAAAAGACCUAACUAAAUCGCGAGUGUCCACAUCUCCUUGACACUCGGACUCCGUAGACCUUCACCUUUUGUUCCGUCGUUUUAGCCGUCGCUUCGAGUUCUUAUUUCCUGGAUUGUUUUCACCGUUGUAGUACUUCUACCUGUCAUGCGACCUAACUUACCAUUUGUCUCUGCAAAACACAUGUUAGUCACAUAUAAUAUUACGUUGUCAUUAAUCACUAAAACCAACCAGGGGCCUAGAUGCUUUCAAUCGGGACUAAGACCCUUGCUGCUGCAUUCUUCGUCGCUGAUGUAGAAGGAAAUUACAGUUUAAUCCUAGGCAGAGAUUGGAUUCACGCCAAUCAAUGUAUACCUUCUACAUUACAUCAAAUGCUAAUACAAUGGGUAGGCGAUGAUAUAGAACAAGUACAUGCUGAUGUAUCGGCCUGCAUCGCUGUGGCCGAUGCCCCUGUACUCUGGACGUAUGAGACCGCUACAUGUCUCACAGGAGUAGACUUUUCUGAUUAUCAAUUCAUAAGUAUAGAUAAGAAAGGUUUCAUUCCUGUAAUGCUAGAGCUGAUGGAAAAUCGGCUAAAUCCUAAAUAAAGUUAAAUGAUGAAUACACACAAAGUUCAUGAGUCUUUGGUCACAGACAGUUCGGCCGCCAAGGCCGGAUGGUCUGGUCUUUCACAAAAGAGUUCGGAUUUUAAGACCGAACAUCUACCACAACGAAAAGACAGUAUUACGGAUGAUCCGGUCCCCGAGACCGGAUAGUCCGCCAUCACACAAAGAUCAUCUGAUUCCUCUGUGGGGGACAUGAUAGAGGAAUUCAGAGAUCUUGAUAAACUAGGACAGGGGUUUACAUCGGCCGAUCCUUUGGAGGAGAUUGACAUAGGAGAUGGUAAAACUCCAAGGCCGACUUUUGUAAACAAGACCCUGGAGACCGAUUCUAGAAAUGAGAUGAUCGGUCUAUUAAAGUAAUAUUCAGAUUGCUUUGCUUGGAAUUAUACUGAGAUGCCUGGAUUAAGCCGAGAGAUCAUAGAGCAUCGGCUGCCUAUUAAAUCUGGUUUCAGACCUUUCAAGCAAAAAGCUAGAACAUUUCGUCCAGAUCUUCUCCCACGCAUCAAGGACGAAAUCCACCGGCUGCUAGAAGCUGAUUUUAUCAGACCUUGCAGAUACGCAGAGUGGGUCUCCAAUAUUGUGCCGGUGGAGAAGAAGGAGACAGGUAAACUUAGAGUAUGCAUUGAUUUUCGCAAUUUAAAUAGAGCAACUCCUAAAGACGAAUAUCCCAUGCCCAUAGCCGACACAUUAAUCAAUAAUGCAUCAGGAAAUAGAAUUAUUAGCUUCCUUGAUGGUAAUGCCGGAUAUAAUCAGAUUUUCAUGGCCGAAGAAGAUGCGUCUAAAACGGCCUUUAUAUGUCCAGGCUUCAUUGGUUUAUUUGAGUGGGUUGUCAUGACAUUUGGUCUAAAAAAUGCUGGUGCUACUUAUCAGAGGGCUAUGAAUUUGAUCUUCCAUGAAUUGUUAGGAAACACUGUGGAAGUUUACAUUGAUGAUAUUGUAGUCAAAUCGGCUGAGUUUAGUUCUCAUAUAGCUGAUUUGCGCAAGGCCUUUGAUAAAAUGCGUCAGUAUGGUUUGAAAAUGAACCCACGUAAAUGUGCUUUUGGAGUGUCGGCUGGGAAGUUUUUAGGAUUUGUCAUACAUGAACAUGGUAUAGAGAUAGACCCUGACCGAAUCAAGUCUAUUCGGAAUGUGGGGCCUCCGACCUGUAAAGUCGAGAUACAGAGGUUCCUCGGCAAGGUGAAUUAUUUACGAAGGUUUAUUUCUAACCUAGUCGGGAAGAUUGAUGCGUUUACCCCUAUUCUUCGGCUUAAGAAUGAUGCCGAAUUCACUUGGGGGGCAGAACAGCAAGAGGCAUUUGAUCUCAUCAAAAAAUACUUAUCUUCGGCUCCCGUAUUAAAAGCACCACAAGCAGGAGUGCCAUUUCGAUUAUACAUUGCAGCUGAGGAUAAGGUCAUUGGGGCUGUUCUGACACAAGAAACUGAGGGGAAGGAGCAUGUUGUGGCAUAUCUAAGCCGAAGAUUGGUGGAUGCUGAAACAAGGUACACUUUUAUUGAAAAGUUAUGCUUAUGCUUGUUUUACGCAUGCACCAAAUGUAGAUGUUAUUUACUGUCUAGUCAUUGCACUGUUUCUGGUCAAGCCGAUGUGAUCAAAUACAUGUUGCAUAACCCAAUUAUGAGUGGUAGAAUUGGUAAGUGGGCUUAUGCACUAAUAGAAUAUGACUUGGCCUAUGAACCAUUGAAAUCUAUGAAAGGCCAAGUCGUAGCGGAUUUCAUUGUAGAACAUCGGGUUAAUGAUAUUCAUGAGCUAGACAUGUCAUACCUCACUAUUACUCCUUGGACUUUAUAUUUUGAUGGAUCGGUUUGCAAUGAAGGGCAAGGAAUUGGCAUUGUACUUGUUUCACCAAGUAAUGUCUCCUUUGACUUCUCUAGCCGAUUGGAAACUUAUUGCACUAAUAAUCAAGCUGAAUAUGAGGCCCUCCUAUUCGGUUUAGAACUUUUAGAUGGUAUGGGAGUAAAACAUGUGAUGGUAUUUGGUGAUUCUCAGCUGGUUGUCCAACAAGUGUUAGAAGAAUAUCAAUGUCUUGAUGGUACUCUAAAUAGUUAUCUUGAGAAAUGUUGGAGCAUAAUCCAUUCUUUUGACGAAUUCAGUAUUCGGCAUAUCUCUAGAGUUGAGAAUCAUAGAGCUAACAACUUGGCACAAGAUGCAUCGGGUUAUCGGAUAAAGAGAGGGAAAUUUCACAAAACUAAAAAUCUGAUAACCAGUGCAGAGCCAAAUUCCCAGGUCGCGGACCGUCCGCGUGUUGACGCCGGACCGUCCGAGGUUACCAGAAAGGUUCUCUUAAUCGAUUCGGCUGACAAUGAAGCCGAUACAAGUGAUUGGAGGACACCUAUACUUAAUUAUUUGCAAAAUCCCAAUAUCAGGACAGAUAAGAACAUUCGGCGAACAGCUUUUAAGUAUGUUUUGAUGAGUGAUGAACUUUACCGCCGAACGGUUAAUGAUGUCCUGCUUAAGUGCUUGGGCCCAGAUGAUGCUAUAUUAGCCAUGGCCGAAGUACAUGAAGGAAUUUGUGGUACCCAUCAAUCAGCUCCAAAGAUGAAGUGGUUGUUGCGAAGGUCUGGUUUUUAUUGGCCUAGUAUGACAGCUGAUUGUUUCAAGUACUACAAGGGGUGCCAAGUGUGUCAAAAAUUCGGCGACCUACAGUUGGUCCCUGCAGCCGAAUUACAUCCUAUCGUCAAGCCUUGGCCAUUCAGAGGAUGGGGAUUAGACUUUAUUGGAGAAAUUCAUCCUUCAUCAUCAAAGGGGCAUCGGUUUGUGUUAGUUGCCACUGACUAUUUCACCAAAUGGACUGAAGCCGUUGCUCUAAAGAACAUGACGCACAAGGAGGUAAUUGAGUUCAUAACUGAGCAUAUUAUUCAUAGAUUCGGCAUUCCCCAGACCUUGACUACAGAUCAAGGUACUUCUUUUAUGUCAAAGGAGGUACGUGAAUUUGCUGAAUUAUACAGAAUUAAGCUACUUAAUUCGUCUCCAUAUUAUGCUCAGGCCAAUGGACAGGCCGAGUCUAGUAAUAGGACGUUGAUUAAUUUGAUAAAGAAGAAGGUAUCUGAUAAUCCUAAACAUUGGCAUAAGAUUUUGUCUGAAGCUUUAUGGGCUCAUAGAAUAUCUAAACAUAGUGCUACUAAAGUAUCUCCUUUUGAGCUUGUCUAUGGGCAGGAAGCAGUGUUACCUGUGGAAAUAAGUUUGAAUGCUGUCAGGUUUGCCAGACAAAAUGAUCUAACUGCUACUGAUUAUUAUAAUUCAACGAUGGAUAAUAUUGAUGAGGUGACUGACAAGAGGAUGAUAGCUUUGGGAGCAAUAGAAAAGGACAAGAUCAUGGUAGCCAGGGCCUACAACAAGAAGGUCAAAGCAAAAUCAUUCCAAGUAGGAGACUUGGUGUGGAAGACCAUUCUACCUCUAAGGAAUAAAGACCGAAAGUUCGGGAAAUGGUCGCCAAGCUGGGAGGGUCCUUAUAAAGUGAAGCAGGUGAUGUCUGGUAACGCUUAUUUACUACAAACAUUACAAGGCAAGGAUCUACCUAAGGCUUUGAAUGGGCGUUUCCUCAAACAGUACCAUCCUAGUAUGUGGCAAGAUGCCUAAGAAAACCGAUGUGAUCACAUCGAGUUAGUUGCUUUUGGUUCGCCCAGCUCCACCAAAAGGCAGGGGGGCAUAUGUUCGAACCAGAAAUGAGCCGGCGGACUGUCCGGCCCUGAGGCCGGACGGUCCGCGGUCCGGACGGUCCGCGCGUGCGCAGAACAGAUUAGGGUUCCGAGUUUUGUGCUACGGUUGUUAGCUAUAUUCGCGGGAUUAGCUCGGAAUCAGUUGUGUAAAGGGUUCAGGCCCCCUCCUCUAUAAAUAGAGAGGUCUACGGCUGAUUUGUAAUCAUCAACAAUCGAAUCAAUACAACUUCUAUUCGCAUUUUAUCCUAGGAGUAGUUCUAGUCUAGUUUAGGUUUAGCCUCUCAAUCCCCAAAUUCUCCGCCUCUCCUCGACUCUACGUCGAUUAGAGGAGUCUAGGUCGGCCUGCCCGAGCCUAGACAACUCCUAGGAUCUCUCCUCCCCGACGGGGUCCCUCCCGGGAGCGAGAUCCAGGCGCCGCCGACGACUUCCGCCGCCCCUUCACACGCGCGGACCGUCCGGCCCUAGGGCGCGGACCGUCCGGCCGUCAGGCAGAGAAGCCCCAGCUGCGCACCAGGCCGCAGACCGUCCGGCUCCAGGCCGCGGACAGUCCGCCUCUGCGCAGAGAAUACCACCGCGCCUCGCACCAGGCCGCGGACCGUCCGGCCCCGCGCGCGGACCGUCCGCCCCUGUGCAGAGGGCACCGCCACGGUUCUUCUUGAGUGUUUGACGCUCCGAAAAGGCGUCAACACCUUUCUUUUUAGGCUGUAUGCAUCCUGAUAUGCCGAGGCCGGAAGUGUUUUCAAGACUAAA